GUACGCCCCACAUGCCUGUUUCCACUCAAUGUUUGUCGUAUCUCCAAUUCCAUAGCAGUUUGCAAAGUCUGAGGGUCUUCAAUGAGAUGCCGAAUAAUAGCAGCAGCAACUCCAGGGAAAAAACAACUCCUUGGAAGAUUAAAAAGAGCUACUAAUCCUCCACCUUCAAGAAAUUUCAGUGCCAAAGCAUGGGUUUUUGUCAAACGAGCACAUAACUGC
rnacentral:misc_RNA from 1 species